CAGUAAGAGCUGUUGAACCCCUCCCUUACCUGGGCCGCGGAGGGCGGAAGCGCCCCCGGGGCAGGCUGGGAGAUGUAGUUCCUGGCUCUCCCCGGAGCAGAAGUGACGUUGAGCGGCGGGGGAGAGAACGAGCCGGGCUGCGAACGCGCGCGGGGCGCUGUGGCUCUGCCUGGCUCGUGCGGGGCCGUUGGAGCCUCUCCCGGGCCGGAGAAGGGUGUCUGACUGAGAACAGGGCUCUUAUCGUACUGACCGUGGCUUUGCCUGGGAUUAGGUUCCGCGGUGUCCCGCAGAUUGUGGGCACUGCAGAAACCCUGACCAAGUUUGAGGUCCUGCUUGUGCCAGGAAUUGCACAGACCUCUACAGAGAGCAGAGACCUUGUUGUGCCGGGUGCUGCAGUGACCCUGACUGAGCUCCGGGCCCCUGUUGUGCCAGGCCCUGCAUCAACACCAAGUGAAAUCAGGCUCCCAUUGUGCCAGGUGCUGCAGAGACAGCAAACAAACUCAGGGACCUUGUUGUUCCUGGAGCUGCAGAGACCCCAACUGAGAUCUGGGCCCUGUUCUGCCAGGUGCUGCAGAGGCCCCAACAGAGGUCAGACCCCACUGUUGUGACAGGUGCUGUGAAGACCGCAACUGACAUCAGGCCCUGCAUUGUGCCAGGCUACAGAAUAACGUCCAGGUUUCACUCCAGAUCCACCCAGGGGGAAGGAAAUGGCUGCAAUGGAGCUGGCUCAGGGGCCGGUGACAUUCGAGGAAGUGGCUGUGUAUUUCACUAGGGAAGAGCGGGCUCUGCUGGACCUCAGUCAGAAAGACCAGUACAGGGAUGUCAUGCAGGAGAACUAUGAGACGGUGGUCUUGCUGGGGUUUCCAGUUUCCAAACCUGAUGUGAUCUCGCAGCUGGAACAAGGGGAAGAGCCAUG